rnacentral:rRNA from 1 species
UACGUAGGGGGCAAGCGUUGUCCGGAAUCAUUGGGCGUAAAGCGCGUGUAGGCGGCCCGGUAAGUCCGCUGUGAAAGUCCAGGGCUCAACCCUGGGAUGCCGGUGGAUACUGUCGGGCUCGAGUCCGGAAGAGGCGAGUGGAAUUCCUGGUGUAGCGGUGAAAUGCGCAGAUAUCAGGAGGAACACCGAUGGCGAAGGCAGCUCGCUGGGACGUGACUGACGCUGAGGCGCGAAAGCUAGGGGAGCAAACGGG